rnacentral:pre_miRNA from 1 species
UUUGUACUCCCUCCGACCCAAAAUUCUUGUCUUAAAUUUGUCUAAAUACGGAUGUAUCUAGUUACAUUUUAGUGUUAGAUACAUCCGUAUCUAAACAAAUGUAAGACAAGAAUUUUGGGACGAAGGGAAUACUAC